GAGUUUGAUCCUGGCUCAGAUUGAACGCUGGCGGCAGGCCUAACACAUGCAAGUCGAGCGGAAACGAGUUAACUGAACCUUCGGGGAACGUUAACGGCGUCGAGCGGCGGACGGGUGAGUAAUGCCUGGGAAAUUGCCCUGAUGUGGGGGAUAACCAUUGGAAACGAUGGCUAAUACCGCAUAAUAGCUUCGGCUCAAAGAGGGGGACCUUCGGGCCUCUCGCGUCAGGAUAUGCCCAGGUGGGAUUAGCUAGUUGGUGAGGUAAUGGCUCACCAAGGCGACGAUCCCUAGCUGGUCUGAGAGGAUGAUCAGCCACACUGGAACUGAGACACGGUCCAGACUCCUACGGGAGGCAGCAGUGGGGAAUAUUGCACAAUGGGCGCAAGCCUGAUGCAGCCAUGCCGCGUGUAUGAAGAAGGCCUUCGGGUUGUAAAGUACUUUCAGCAGUGAGGAAGGUGGAUAUGUUAAUAGCAUAUUCAUUUGACGUUAGCUGCANAAGAAGCACCGGCUAACUCCGUGCCAACAGCCGCGGUAAUACGGGAGGGUGCGAGCGUUAAUCGGAAUUACUGGGCGUAAAGCGCAUGCAGGGUGGNUUGUUAAGNCAGAUGU
rnacentral:rRNA from 1 species